CCUACGGGUGGCAGCAGUGAGGAAUAUUGGUCAAUGGACGAGAGCCUGAACCAGCCAAGUCGCGUGAAGGAUGACUGUCCUAUGGGUUGUAAACUUCUUUUAUAAAGGAAUAAAACGAGGCACGUGUCCCGUUUUGUAUGUACCUUAUGAAUAAGGAUCGGCUAACUCCGUGCCAGCAGCCGCGGUAAUACGGAGGAUCCGAGCGUUAUCCGGAUUUAUUGGGUUUAAAGGGUGCGUAGGUGGGUUGUUAAGUCAGUGGUGAAAGUUUGCGGCUCAACCGUAAAAUUGCAGUUGAUACUGGCAGGCUUGAGUACGGUUGAGGUAGGCGGAAUUCGUGGUGUAGCGGUGAAAUGCUUAGAUAUCACGCAGAACCCCGAUUGCGAAGGCAGCUUACUAAGCUAUGACUGACGUUGAUGCUCGAAAGUGUGGGUAUCAAACAGGAUUAGAUACCCUGGUAGUC
rnacentral:rRNA from 1 species